UAGGGAAUAUUGCACAAUGGGGGAAACCCUGAUGCAGCCAUGCCGCGUGUGUGAAGAAGGCCCUAGGGUUGUAAAGCACUUUCAGUAGGGAGGAAUUAGUUUAGUUAAUAGCUAUAUGAAAUGACGUUACCUACAGAAGAAGUACCGGCUAACUCCGUGCCAGCAGCCGCGGUAAUACGGAGGGUACGAACGUUAAUCGGAAUUACUGGGCGUAAAGCGCGCGUAGGCGGUUUAUUAAGUGGGAUGUGAAAGCCCCGGGCUCAACCUGGGAACUGCAUUUCAAACUGAUAGACUAGAGUACGAUAGAGGGGGGUAGAAUUCAGAGUGUAGCGGUGAAAUGCGUAGAUAUUCUGAGGAAUACCGGUGGCGAAGGCGGCCCCCUGGAUUGAUACUGACGCUGAGGUGCGAAAGCGUGGGGAGCAAACAGG
rnacentral:rRNA from 1 species